GGUAACCUGCUGGGGUUCCCUUCCACGCUGUGGGAGGUUUGUUCUUUCGCUCUUUGCAAUAAUUCUUGCUGCUGCUCACUCCUUGGGUCCACACUGCCUUUAUGAGCUGUAACACUCACUGUGAAGGUCUGCAGCUUCAGUCCUGAAGCCAGCGAGACCACGAGCCCACCAGAAGGAACGAACGACUGCAGACGUGCCGCCUUAAGAGCUAUAACACUCACCUCGAAGAUCCGCAGCUUCACUCCUGAGCCAGCGAGACCAAGAACCCACCAGAAGGAAGAAACUGCCAACACAUCCGAACAUCAGAAGGAACGAGCUCCAGACACGCAGCCUUUAAGAACUGUAACACUCACUGCGAGGGUUCGCGGCUUCAUUCUUGAAGUCAGUGAGACCAAGAACCCACCAAUUCCGGACCCACUGGCAUUACAGGCGUGAAUCACUGUGUCUGGCCAAAAAGGAUCUAAUCUUAUAGCAGUGGAAUGAGGGGGAAGCCCAGCAAGGCCCAUCUGUUUGGAGUCUUCCUGGACUUCUGGGGCCUGACCCUUUUGGAACGGGGGUUUUAAGAUUCAUAAUCGACAAAUGGGUUCUUGAUAUGUUGCCCAGGCUGAGAGUUUCGUUAUGGCCAGCUGUGACACAGAAAGGUUGUUCCUACUUUGGCCAUUGGAGCUCUUUCCAGUUAGCUUCUCUUCCUUGGACAGCUUCCAUACGUUUUUGAGCACUUCCUUAUUUCUGACACCAGAAGAUGACUCAGGCUUGACUUGUAUUCUCCCCGUCCAACAAUGGAAUCUGCCAUUUCUCCAAGGAGCCCUGAUUCCUUUUAUUUGAGCGUGGUACAUAGAAGCUGAGCAACUUUUUCUCUCUUUCUAAUAAAUGCUAAUUCAGGAAAAAUAAAAAACUUAUAAAACAAAACUUCUCCUCUCAAAAUAAAAAUAAUUUUACGCAGUCCCAUAAGAGAAUACACAUUUUAAAAAUAUGUACAGCCUAUGCAAUUGACUAGAAUAGUGUUGGUGAGAACAUUCACACUGGCUUUAAUUAAAAAUUAAUGGUUAAUAUUUUUGCACUUUUAUGAAGCAACAGAAAUCUGAUCUUUAGUACUGAGAUAAAGUUUUUGUGUUUGAUGCAGUUUGCCCACCCAAACUAUCUGCGGGCUACAGUUUGCCCAUUUCUAUUCUAGAUUGCUGUUGGGGUAGAUUAGAAUUGUUGAGCGAAUUGACUAAAUUGCUCCAGUCUUUUUGAAAGGCCCAGUUGUCCCUUUGAAAUAUUUAUGGGUUUUUGAAUAAAGGUAGAAAUUAACCCUCCCACUCUUAAAACUUGAAACUUAUAUGUGUCUCAUCUGAGUGGUUUCCUCAGGAAACAGACCCUCACGCAAGGGACUGAAACUCACCAGAUCACCAUAUCCAGACCAUGAGAUCUAAGGUCUCUUACCCAUCGUGAUUGCUCCCUUACCCCUCCCUCAUUCCUGUAUUCCUGCAUGUAGUGACAUCCCUUCUCUGCUAUGUAAGCCCCAAAUUUUAGUGGGUCAAGGAAAAGGAUUUGAGACUUAUCUCCUGUUCUUCUUGACUGCAGCUCACAAAUAAAGUCUUCUUUCCUGGCAAUACUUCUUGUAUCAGGCAUUGGCAUUCUGUAUGGUGAGCAAUGGGAUCUAGACCAAACCCCUGGCAUUUGGUAACAAUUUAAUUUCAUGUCACUGGGUCAUCAUUAUAUAACUUGAGUAAUAGGUGGCAUCAUCUACCUCCUUUUCCUCCUCUUUCUUCUUCC
rnacentral:lncRNA from 1 species